UCUUGGUUUAGUUAGGAGGCGCAUAGUGACGGGCACGUGAUGCUCACUCAGGCUUUUGAGGGGGCGCCUCAUCUGUUUUAGCUAGAGGUGCCCCCCAAGUAGCCCUAGACAUUC